CAACCCGGGUCGAGAGGCUCGGCUGAGCCGGCAGGAGUCAGCAGAGGGCAUAGUACCUCGAAGGUCAUGAACUUCAGGGGAGGCC
rfam:Thermosinus carboxydivorans Nor1 ctg44, whole genome shotgun sequence.